rnacentral:rRNA from 1 species
CAAUAGCGUAUAUUAAAGUUGUUGCGGUUAAAAGCUCGUAGUUGGAUUUCUGUUGAGGACGACCGGUCCGCCCUCCGGGUGAGCAUCUGGUUCGGCCUUGGCAUCUUCUUGGUGAACGUAUCUGCACUUGACUGUGUGGUGCGGUACCCAGGACUUUUACUUUGAGGAAAUUAGAGUGUUUCAAGCAGGCAUACGCCUUGAAUACAUUAGCAUGGAAUAAUAAGAUAGGACCUCGGUUCUAUUUUGUUGGUUUCUAGAGCUGAGGUAAUGAUUAAUAGGGAUAGUUGGGGGCAUUAGUACUUGACUGUCAGAGGUGAAAUUCUCCGAUUUGUUAAAGACUAACUUAUGCGAAAGCAUUUGCCAAGGAUGUUUUCAUUAAUCAAGAACGAAAGUUAGGGGAUCAAAGACGAUUAGAUACCAU